GCCUGUGGGCGAUCCCUGCGAGGGAUGGAUUCAGGGAACAGGAGCAGCCCCCGUAAAAGGAGAAGUCACAGUGAGGUCACCCUGGUCACCUGUCAGUGGAGGACAACUUUUCCAAAAGACGCAACUUGAAUAUAAACAGUGCGCGGAACAGCAGGGCCCCCAGAUGCACGAAGCAAAAACCAACCGAACUGAAGUGAGAAAUAGACAGUUCAACGAUAGUAGAGACACCAAAGAGCCCAAGGAACAAUAACAAAAAAGACAAACUGGACUUCACCCUAAUUAAAAACUUUUGUGCUUCAAAGCAUACCAUCGAGAAAGUGAGAAAGUCCACAGAAUAGGAGAAAAUACUUGCACACCGAAUGUCCGGUAAAGGGACAACUCAACCAGCAAAGAGACAAAUAACCCAGUGGAAAGACAGGCAGAUUUGAAUAGACAUUUUUUCAAAGAAGAUAUGCAAAUGACCAGUAAACACAUGAAAAGAU